GCAAAACCGACCCGGAACCCAGAGGAAGGAGGAAUUCAUUCUAACCUUACAUCUGGGUGUUACUCAGAGGAACUGAGCCGUGAGGGAUGGGGCAGGACUUCGGAGGGCAGAGAUGGAAAAAAGACGUCCCAGGGGAAGAGGUUUAAGUUCUGGAGAGGGCGACAGGAGAGGGGCACGUGUUCCUGGGACAGCGAGGCCGCAAGACAGCAGCAUGAUGGACCUGGUUUUUAGCCCUUGGCUCUUGGGUCUUAGUAAAACCAAAAUCUUGUAUUUUUAUCACUGUCUUCAUACUGUGCUUUACAACUCUCAGAACUAGCACGGGCAUAAAUUUGCUUAGAAGUCGGGGUUUGGGGUUCAGAAUUCGAAGGGACAUUUUUAUCAGUAAGAGCAUUUUCAAACAAUCUUGGAAUUCCACAGACUUUUCCGGAACCUCCUCCCAUCCCUCGGAGGGGCCACCUGGCAGGAUAAUCGGUAGCUGACUGGAAUUCAUCCCUCUUCUUGGAAUGCUGUGGAUGUGAGAUCUGUGUAGAAUGGCGGAAUGAUUUGGCCUUUUACAACGGGCCUCGAAAGGCCCAGCACGCUACAAAGAACAGAAGACACUUCCUCAAACUGGAUUGCACAAUGAGGACACUGACAAGUUCACAUGACUGGACGUCUAGCAGAAGGAGGAGGGCCCCAGGUGUGUCUAUCACGUGGGUCACACGAGCCAGACCACGGACGUAGCACUGGGAAGAGUGUUCAGCUUUCAUCAGACAUUAUUUGAUGCAGACUUCUCAAACAUUUAAGGGCUUGGUCAAGAUGAAUGAAGUGGUCUUGAAGGUGACUUGGAUCCCAGCAUUGCAAAUCUGAGGAUGGGGGUAUGUUCUUCGUUUGCCUGCUCAGCAGAAUGUCUGAGGAUGCACAGGCACCUACAUCCGUCAGGUGUUGACGCACAGCCUUCUCAAGCUGGACACCGCCUGGGCAUUCCGCGUACCUUGUGUGCUGAUGACUGACGAACUUUUCACUAUGACACCUGGACGUACAAACCUUGAAAAUGAUGAACUGAAAGAAGGAACAAAAAGCAGAAAAACUGCGAGUUAAGCAGAGAGAAGUUAAUACAAUGGAAACACCACCAUGAGCGUUAGAGUCAAACAGUGUUAGGUGCAGAUUCUCUGCCCUGCAGGUUACUCAACGCCGUGUGUACCUUGGCGCCCCCAUCUGUAAAACGGGCUCUUAUGAGGAUCAGCGAUGACACAUGUAGAGUGCGUAGUGCCAGCCCUGAUGCACUGGUGUGCAACAAGGAGCUGUUAUUAUCUGUAACUAAAUCAGAGCACCAUAUUUAGUUACAUGGAGAGACGUGCUGUCGCUGGGGUCCACAGUUCUGACUUCUCUGUAAGGAUUAAACAACCAGUCCUUUUGGCCUUGGUUUCGCUGGGUGUGGAAUAAGCUCAGGUUGCCAGCAUCACAGGGGUUCCUGGAGGUCUCCCCGGAGCUGCCAAGAGGCUGGUCCCCAGAGAAGCCCUUUGCGAGCCUGAGCUUGUCCCGAGAGUCAAGCUCUUCUCUAGGUACACGUUGAACAAAGCCCGCCCCCACACAGAGGCCGCCCCUUGGCUGCCAAGGACAGCAACGUCUUUGUUCUCAGGCUCUUUCAGAGCCCAGGGCCUACGAAGUGGACAAUAGGCCUGCCUUGUCCUUCCUUUGGCCUCACUUUCCUUAGAGGCCACAGUGGUUGGGGGGGUCAGGCAAGGAUGCAUGCCCUCGGGGUCCUAGGGGCCCACCCUGUGGGUUUCAGGCAGCUUCUUUUGUACUUCAGGCUGAAACGGUUGGUGCCAAGGAGAGGAGAGCGAGCAGGAGCGUGCCCUUCCCUCGAACAGGACUUCGCGUUCUGACCAACGGUAGAGGGUUGAACGGGCCUGCCAGGAGAUGCAUGCGAGUCCUAACCCCGGGUAGCUGUGCACGCACCCUUAUUUGGAAAUAAGGCCUUUGCAGAUGUAAUUAAGUUGAGGAUCAUGAGAGGAGAUCAUUGCAGAUUUAGGGCCCUAAAUCCAAUGACUGGUGUCCUUAGAGAGAAAAGAGACAGAGUUCUGACACUCAGAGACUAGGGUGAAGACGCAGCCAGCCCUAGGACAAAGGACGCCUGGGGGCCCCAGAAGCUGGAGGAGGUAGGAACGAUCUUCCCCUAGAGCCCGGGAGGGAGCAUGGCUCUGCCCACAUGAAGGUUUUCCUCCAGAACUGUGAGAGAAGAAAUUUCUGUUGUUUUAAACCACCCAAUUUGUGACAAUUUGUUACAGCAGCCCCAGGAAACUCACACGCCAGCCGUGGGUGCUUCCUGAGCCUCUGUGGUAAAGCCUCUUCUCUGCAUUUUGCAAAGUUCAAAGGUGCGUCUCGUCCCAGGGGUACGGCGGAAGGGCGGCAGUCCUUGAUUCAGGGUCAGUGUGGGUGCACGUUUCUGGGGAGCACUAGAAGCCCCUCUAAUGUCCCGGAGGCAGCAGUGGGUCGUGCCUUGGCAAGAGCACAGCACCUGACAGAGGCCACCAGGGGAGGCAGGGCUGGCAGGCACGGGCCCUUGAGGGUUUGUUGUUCAUUCCCACUUCAGCCUUUUAGAGUUGAGUGAGCUUUCUGAACUUGGAGGGUGCCAGAGACCAUUGUGCCCACUAAGCGAGAUGACCAUCUCCGCGUGUGUUCCCUGACCCCUUUAAGUCUGUGAUCCCUUCACGCUACUCAUUACAGAAGAUGAUUUACCAAGAAAGACCCCCAUGGUUUUUCAGUGGGCCUGUGCUUGUAGCCAU
rnacentral:lncRNA from 1 species